rnacentral:rRNA from 1 species
CCAGCAGCCGCGGUAAUUCCAGCUCCAAUAGCGUAUAUUUAAGUUGUUGCAGUUAAAAAGCUCGUAGUUGGAUUUCGGGUGGGUCCUGCCGGUCCGCCGUUUCGGUGUGCACUUGCAGGUCCCACCUUGUUGCCGGGGACGUGUUCCUGGGCUUCACUGUCCGGGACACGGAGUCGGCGAGGUUACUUUGAGUAAGUUAGAGUGUUCAAAGCAGGCCUACGCUCUGAAUACAUUAGCAUGGAAUAACACGAUAGGACUCUGGCCUAUCUUGUUGGUCUGUAGGACCGGAGUAAUGAUUAAGAGGGACAGUCGGGGGCAUUCGUAUUUCAUUGUCAGAGGUGAAAUUCUUGGAUUUAUGAAAGACGAACUACUGCGAAAGCAUUUGCCAAGGAUGUUUUCAUUAAUCAAG